rnacentral:rRNA from 1 species
AGUGAACGCUGGCGGUAGGCCUAACACAUGCAAGUCGAACGGCAGCACAGUAAGAGCUUGCUCUUACGGGUGGCGAGUGGCGGACGGGUGAGGAAUACAUCGGAAUCUACUUUUUCGUGGGGGAUAACGUAGGGAAACUUACGCUAAUACCGCAUACGACCUACGGGUGAAAGCAGGGGAUCUUCGGACCUUGCGCGAUUGAAUGAGCCGCUGUCGGAUUAGCUAGUUGGCGGGGUAAAGGCCCACCAAGGCGACGAUCCGUAGCUGGUCUGAGAGGAGGAUCAGCCACACGGGAACUGAGACACGGACCAGACUCCUACGGGAGGCAGCAGUGGGGAAUAUUGGACAAUGGGCGCAAGCCUGAUCCAGCCAUACCGCGUGGGUGAAGAAGGCCUUGGGGUUGUAAAGCCCUUUUGUUGGGAAAGAAAAGCAGCAGGUUAAUACCCCGCUGUUCUGACGGUACCCAAAGAAUAAGCACCGGCUAACUUCGUG